GGCUGGUCUGGUGCAGUGGUGUUUACAACUACAUGAUCACAACCAGUUACAGAUUUCUUUGUUCCUUCUCUACUCCCACUGCUUCACUUGAUUCACUUUAA
ensembl:Y_RNA Y_RNA Y RNA